rnacentral:SRP_RNA from 1 species
UGGCGGGUAGGGCCGGGGGGCUAGCCCUCCCCUGAACCCGAAACGGGCUCACGCGGGGGCCAGCAACCCGGUGGAAGAGGGAUAUGGACCCCGGGGUGGGGCAUGGCGAUAGGUGAGGCCGCGCCCUUCCGGAGUCUAGUAGGGCGUAGUGCCCGGCGUAGGCCGGGCCUACUACGCCCGCAUGCACCGAACCGCGUCAGGCCCGGGAGGGAGCAGCGCUAAGGUGCAGCUAGGCUGCUGGAAGGUACACGUGGCUGAUAACAGCCCUGCCGUGCCUCCGGGGAUUCCCAGCCCUCGACCACUAGGGGGCCGCCG